rnacentral:rRNA from 1 species
UACGUAGGGUGCAAGCGUUGUCCGGAAUUAUUGGGCGUAAAGAGCUCGUAGGCGGUUUGUCGCGUCGGCUGUGAAAACCUGGGGCUCAACCCCGGGCCUGCAGCCGAUACGGGCAAACUAGAAUUCGGUAGGGGAGAGCGGAAUUCCUAGUGUAGCGGUGAAAUGCGCAGAUAUUAGGAAGAACACCGGUGGCGAAGGCGGCUACUCUGGAACGGUACUGGACGCUGAGACGCGAAAGCGUGGGGAGCGAACAGG